rnacentral:rRNA from 1 species
GACGAACGCUGGCGGCGUGCUUAACACAUGCAAGUCGAACGGAAAGACCCUGCUUUUGUGCGGUGCUCGAGUGCCGAACGGGUGCGUAACACGUGAGUAACCUGCCCUUGUCUUUCGGAUAACUUCAGGAAACUGGGGCUAAUAUCGUAUAGGAGAUCCUGCUCCAUGGUGGGGGUUGGAAAUUUUCGGCGGUUGGGGCUGGACUGGCGGGUUAUCAGCUUGUUGGUGGGGUAGUGGUUUACCCAGGCUUUGAAGGGUAGCCGGCCUGUGAGGGUGACCGGGGACAAUAGUCCUGCGGGAGGGAGCAGUCGGCUACGGUAGGCAGUAGGGGGGAACAUGACACAGUGGGCGGAAGUGGGUGGCAGAGGCCCCCGGGUCGGGAUGACGGCUUUUGGGGUGUGAACAGCUUUCGCCUGUGACGAAGCGGUAGUGACGGUAAUGGGUAAAGAAGCACCGGCUAACUACGUG